AGCUACAGACAACUUCAGAUUCACAGUAGCUGACUGAAAGUGAAGCUUUAUUUGUUUCACUUUCAUCAUAUACUUUCACCAAGGAGCUCAUGACUGUGCAAAUUAUUAUUAUUGUUUAUUAAAUUUGCAUACUGCCCUUCAUCAGAAGAUUCCUGGGUAAUUCACAACAUAAAAAUACAAAAUACAUGGUAAUAGAAAAACAAACCAAUAACCCCCUCACAACACAUUUUAAAAGCCAUAGAAUGUCAGUCAGCCAAAUGCCUGGUUGAAGAGAAACGUUUUUCCUUUUACAUCUACCACAACAAUGUCCCAGUCUAAGGCUUGUGUGUAAAACUCACACACAGCACGCUCUCAGUCUGCUUAUAAUUGCUUGUAAGCAUAACCUGAUGUGUUCUUGCCUCCAGGCUAUCACCAGGCAAGAUUUGAGCAGUUAUAAAUGAAGGUGAGGAAAGAAAGAAAGAAGAAAACAUGAAAUGUUAAGAUGACUGUGACAGCAAAGUCUUAGAGGAAAAGGAGGCAAGAAAAUGAGUUCUUCUUGCAAGGGCGUGGACACUUUUUUCUGGCAAGAAUUGCACAGCUAAGCAUAUUCUACAUUUAUUUGUUCCAUUGCAGCCUUUGCCCAUGAUAUUGAGGGUUACUGCCAAAUAUAUUCAGGUACGCUAUCCAAAAUGUCAUUUUUUCUGGCUUAGCAUAUUUAUACCCAUGGACUGUGGCUUAAAUGGGUCUCUAAUAAUUGAAGUAUAACGUGAUUAUAAAACUUUACACUGGCUAGAAUGUGACCCAUAGUCAGUUUUAUACAGCG